UUCAGUCCAAGUUAAGAUUUGAGACUCUUUAUCAACAUUAUAUAUAAGUGCUUUACAAGUUUGUUACAGCUAAGCCUACCAAAUGAAUCCAAGUGGACCAUAGUGGAUAUUUUUCAAAAGGAUUGAUGAACAACUAAACAAACAAUAUUGUGGAGAUACAUGUGAAUUAUUAUGGAGAUGCCACCAGCUAUUCAAUUCAUUGGAGAGCAGCUCUACUACCAAAGUGGACAUGUGGAUCACAGGAUGUGGAUCAUCAUAGCUUCUCUUCUCAACUUUACGCAUCUCCACAACUAUUACCUGUGUGCUAUAAUUAAUAUAAUUAUAUUAUCAUAUUAUAGUAUAAUUGUUUUCAAUAUUAUUCAUUGUAUGCAAUUGCUCUUUUUCUAAAGUAUUUUUCAGAUCCAAUGCAGCUUCUCUCAUCACAUGUACACUUGCAAUUUGUCUGUACCAUUUUUUAAAAUUCUAUUCAAUUCAUCUGUUUCUAAAGUAUGUUUCAGAUUCAUUGCAGAUUCUCUCCUUACAUGUACACUUGUAAU